rnacentral:snRNA from 1 species
AUUCUCUGGUUUCUCUUUAGAUCAUAUACAUUUUUUGCCUUUUACUAAAGAUUUACUUGGAGAGGAACAAGCACAAGUGUUGUGGAAUUUUUUGAGGCUCCACUUUGGUGGAGAC